rnacentral:rRNA from 1 species
GACGAACGCUGGCGGCGUGCUUAACACAUGCAAGUCGAACGGAGUGGCGAACGGGUGAGUAACACGUGGGUGACCUGCCCUGCACUUCGGGAUAAGACUGGGAAACUGGGGCUAAUACAGGAUAGUGUGGUAGGGGCCCGUGGCCUAUCCGCUUGUUGGGGGGGUAAUGGUCGACCAAGGCGGCGACGGGUAGCCGGCCUGGGAGGGUGGACGGCAACAUUGGGACUGAGACCCGAGUCAGACUCCUACGGGAGGCAGCAGUUGAUAAUCUUGCGCCGUGGGCGGAAGCCUGAUGUGGCGUCGCCGCGUUGGGGAUGUCGGCCUUCGGUUUGUAAACUCCUUACACCAUCGACGCGGUAGAUGGAGAAGAAGCACCGGCUAACUACGUGCCAGCAGCCGCGGUAAUAC